AUUGAACGCUGGCGGCAUGCCUUACACAUGCAAGUCGAACGGUAACGCGGGGCAACCUGGCGACGAGUGGCGAACGGGUGAGUAAUGUAUCGGAACGUGCCCAGUUGUGGGGGAUAACUGCUCGAAAGAGCAGCUAAUACCGCAUACGACCUGAGGGUGAAAGCGGGGGAUCGCAAGACCUCGCGCAAUUGGAGCGGCAGAUAUCAGAUUAGGUAGUUGGUGGGGUAAAGGCCCACCAAGCCAACGAUCUGUAGCUGGUCUGAGAGGACGACCAGCCACACUGGGACUGAGACACGGCCCAGACUCCUACGGGAGGCAGCAGUGGGGAAUUUUGGACAAUGGACGCAAGUCUGAUCCAGCCAUGCCGCGUGCGGGAAGAAGGCCUUCGGGUUGUAAACCGCUUUUGUCAGGGAAGAAACGCUCUGGGUUAAUACCUCGGGGUAAUGACGGUACCUGAAGAAUAAGCACCGGCUAACUACGUGCCAGCCGCCGCUGUAACAC
rnacentral:rRNA from 1 species